CAUGCAAGUCGAGCGGAAAGGCCCUUCGGGGUACUCGAGCGGCGAACGGGUGAGUAACACGUGAGUAACCUGCCCCAGACUUUGGGAUAACCCUCGGAAACGGGGGCUAAUACCGGAUAUUACUUCGCAUCGCAUGGUGCUUGGUGGAAAGUUUUUCGGUUUGGGAUGGACUCGCGGCCUAUCAGCUUGUUGGUGAGGUAAUGGCUCACCAAGGCGAGGACGGGUAGCCGGCCUGAGAGGGCGACCGGCCACACUGGGACUGAGACACGGCCCAGACUCCUACGGGAGGCAGCAGUGGGGAAUAUUGCACAAUGGGCGGAAGCCUGAUGCAGCGACGCCGCGUGAGGGAUGACGGCCUUCGGGUUGUAAACCUCUUUCAGUAGGGACGAAGCGCAAGUGACGGUACCUACAGAAGAAGCACCGGCCAACUACGUGCCAGCAGCCGCGGUAAUACGUAGGGUGCGAGCGUUGUCCGGAAUUACUGGGCGUAAAGAGCUCGUAGGUGGUUUGUCGCGUUGUUCGUGAAAACUCACAGCUUAACUGUGGGCGUGCGGGCGAUACGGGCAGACUUGAGUACUGCAGGGGAGACUGGAAUUCCUGGUGUAGCGGUGGAAUGCGCAGAUAUCAGGAGGAACACCGGUGGCGAAAGCGGGUCUCUGGGCAGUAACUGACGCUGA
rnacentral:rRNA from 1 species